rnacentral:piRNA from 1 species
UCCCUUGCCAUGAUGAUUUGA